UUCCAUAUCCUUCCUCAAAACUUCAAGUGCUC
rnacentral:piRNA from 1 species